UACCAGCACCCCGAGUGGUCGGGACGAUUAUUGGGCCUAAAGCAUCCGUAGCCGGCCUUACAAGUCCCCCGUUAAAUCCAACUGCUUAACAGAUGGGCUGCGGAGGAUACUAUAAGACUAGGAGGCAGGAGAGGCAAGCGGUACUCAGUGGGUAGGGGUAAAAUCCGUUGAUCCAUUGAAGACCACCAGUGGCGAAGGCGGCUUGCCAGAAUGCGCUCGACGGUGAGGGAUGAAAGCUGGGGAGGCAAAC
rnacentral:rRNA from 1 species